rnacentral:rRNA from 1 species
GGUUGAUCCUGCCAGUAGUCAUAUGCUUGUCCCAAAGAUUAAGCCAUGCAUGUCCAAGUAUAAACCUUUAUACGGUGAAACUGCGAAUGGCUCAUUAUAUCAGUUAUAAUUUACAUGAUGAUAAUUUGCUACAUGGAUAACCGUGGUAAUUCUAGAGCUAAUACAUGCAUUGAGGUUGGGAGGUUAACUUCCGACUGUAUUUAUUAGAUAAAACCAACAAAGAAGCGAUUAGGCUUAACCGCUUCUUCAUGGGCGAGUCAUAAUAACUGCGCGGAUCGCAUGGCUUUACGCCG